rnacentral:rRNA from 1 species
CCUACGGGAGGCAGCAGUGGGGAAUAUUGGGCAAUGGAGGAAACUCUGACCCAGCGACGCCGCGUGCGGGAUGAAGGCCUUCGGGUUGUAAACCGCUUUCAGUAGGGAAGAAGCGAAAGUGACGGUACCUACAGAAGAAGCACCGGCUAACUAUGUGCCAGCAGCCGCGGUAAUACAUAGGGUGCAAGCGUUGUCCGGAAUUAUUGGGCGUAAAGAGCUCGUAGGUGGUUCGUCACGUCGGAUGUGAAAAUCUGGGGCUCAACCCCAGACCUGCAUUCGAUACGGGCGAUCUAGAGUGUGGUAGGGGAGACUGGAAUUCCUGGUGUAGCGGUGGAAUGCGCAGAUAUCAGGAGGAACACCAAUGGCGAAGGCAGGUCUCUGGGCCAUUACUGACACUGAGGAGCGAAAGCGUGGGGAGCGAACAGGAUUAGAUACCCUGGUAGUCCACGCCGUAAACGGUGGGCACUAGUUGUGGGAACCUUCCACGGUUUCUGCGACGCAGCUACGCAUAGUGCCCGCCGUCGGGUAGGUACGAGUCGCGAAGAAUUAAACUACAAGGAAGUUAGACGGCGUGAGACGUGCCGACGGACGACGACGAGGGAGGUAGG